CACCCCUACAACGUGCUUGUUCAAGCAGCUCCUUUUCUUUCAGGUUUUGUGCUUAGAAAGAGUGACAUGAUGCAGGAUGGAGUUGCGAGGAGUUCCCGGACACGGUCAGAGAUGGCUGGAACAGUCGGAUGGAUUUGCAAUCAUGCAAUAAAUGCCCACAUAAGACGCCAUGGUCAAAUGGUUGGAGAUCGUUGAGAGUUUGCAGCUAUUGAUGAAAGUUGUUUCCUUAAUAAAAGCAAGUAUCACCACAGAAGGGCCGGUGCAACAUGGCGACGGAAAAAGUGGGUAUUAAGAAUAUUAGGAGUAGGUGACCGCCAGAAACAUCCUGUCUUGUGGCUGGUGUGGUUAAACAAGUGCGUCCGGGAACCACCGUCAUCAGUGACCAAUGGGGCACUUACAGGAGUGCAUUGACUGCGACAGGCUACAGGCACUUCACAGUGAACCACUGUCAGUAGUUUGCGGAUCCAAACACCUUGCGCGCCUCCCAGUAUGUCAACCCCAGCUUUCUCUGUGGACCAUGCAACUUGGACUUUCCGAGUUUCAUAUAGGACAAUGCAUCUUGCUCUGCAUCUGUAAACCAUGGAUUCAUCUUUUGGACAUUUUCAGGAGAAUGGCUGUGUGU